AUGGAUGGAACCGGCAUUCCCCGGCGACAGCGACGGCGCAGCAACAGAUCGGAGUGGCGACAAUGUUCCUUCAUGGUCACCGACGAGGGCGCGAUGCGAGGUGAGGAAGUGGGCGGCCCUGCUGCCCCGGUGCUGCAGGCCGAGGAGCUUGGGCCAGCUGGGCCUCGGGCGCGAGCGUUCCCGCUCGGGGGGAGCUCCUGUGGUCAAAGGCGAAGACGGCUGCGAGGACGGAGGACAACACGGUGGCGGCUCGGGGCUCCGGUGGCACGCGAGCAAGGCACCUAUGGGUGCUCGAGGUGGAUGGGUGGAUCGAGGGGAAGGCUCGGGUUGGUGAGGAAAGAUCGAGAGGAUACAGAGGAAAGCGCCGGUUGCGUAGGUUCGACGGUGAUUGGCCGGUGUCUGUAA
rnacentral:rRNA from 1 species